CUCAUCUAGUGAAAGUGCAUAAUAAUCUAAAAAUAUAUACUUAUGAUAUAUACUGAUGUUAUUUGAAGAAGAUUUAGUUAUAAGCAUACGCGUGUUUGAUGGAAAAUCUUUUGCUCUCGAAGAGCGUUUUGGAGCCGGAAUUCCCUCUAUAAAUUUAGACGAAAAAUAAAGAGUAUUACCUGCGCUUUAUGCGGAAUUUGGCAGAACAAAAUCAUCGAAAAACACCAGAUUUUCGGAAAAAAACCCAUGGAAGUGGGAGGAUGGGUUACUUCUCAAACGACUUCUGCAGCAGUUAUAGGGACAUAGACGAGGAGAAAUCGAUUUUGCAUCUCUACGUUACAUUAUUCUCCAGGAACCUCAUAAAACAAACCUAGUGGUCUGAUCAUCUGGAACGGUGAGGGAAAUCUUCUACACAAAGCCAACAAUGGUAUCAUUGCGAGUCGGUUGCCCUCAGUGCGCUUGAUUAGGCUGAAAUAACUAACAAACUAGAUUUCUGAGUCUAUAUAUAUUUAGCGGUUAGAUUAUACUUAAAAGUGUUGGGAAAUUUAAUCUACUUAAACGACUUAUAGCGUAACUGAGAAAUUUGUAUGAUUAACGUCAUUGCCUUGAAUUCCUUUUAACUUAAGGUGGGACUCGAUGAAUAUUUUAUUAAGGUUAGGAAAU